AAAAACUUCUGUUGUUAAAAGAAGAAACAUAUUCGGAGAGUAACUGUUCCAGGUAUUGACGGUAUUUAACCAGAAAGCCACGGCUAAAUACGUGCCCAGCAGCCGCGGUAAUACGUAGGUGGCAAGCGUUGUCCGGAUUUAUUGGGCGUAAAGCGAGCGCAGGCGGUUUUUUAAGUCUGAUGUGAAAGCCUUCGGCUCAACCGAAGAAGUGCAUCGGAAACUGGGAAACUUGAGUGCAGAAGAGGACAGUGGAACUCCAUGUGUAGCGGUGAAAUGCGUAGAUAUAUGGAAGAACACCAGUGGCGAAGGCGGCUGUCUGGUCUGUAACUGACGCUGAGGCUCGAAAGUAUGGGUAGCAAACAGGAUUAGAUACCCUGGUAGUCCAUACCGUAAACGAUGAAUGCUAAGUGUUGGAGGGUUUCCGCCCUUCAGUGCUGCAGCUAACGCAUUAAGCAUUCCGCCUGGGGAGUACGGCCGCAAGGCUGAAACUCAAAGGAAUUGACGGGGGCCCGCACAAGCGGUGGAGCAUGUGGUUUAAUUCGAAGCUACGCGAAGAACCUUACCAGGUCUUGACAUACUAUGCAAAUCUAAGAGAUUAGACGUUCCCUUCGGGGACAUGGAUACAGGUGGUGCAUGGUUGUCGUCAGCUCGUGUCGUGAGAUGUUGGGUUAAGUCCCGCAACGAGCGCAACCCUUAUUAUCAGUUGCCAGCAUUAAGUUGGGCACUCUGGUGAGACUGCCGGUGACAAACCGGAGGAAGGUGGGGAUGACGUCAAAUCAUCAUGCCCCUUAUGACCUGGGCUACACACGUGCUACAAUGGAUGGUACAACGAGUUGCGAACUCGCGAGAGUAAGCUAAUCUCUUAAAGCCAUUCUCAGUUCGGAUUGUAGGCUGCAACUCGCCUACAUGAAGUCGGAAUCGCUAGUAAUCGCGGAUCAGCAUGCCGCGGUGAAUACGUUCCCGGGCCUUGUACACACCGCCCGUCACACCAUGAGAGUUUGUAACACCCAAAGUCGGUGGGGUAACCUUUUAGGAACCAGCCGCCUAAGGUGGGACAGAUGAUUAGGGUGAAGUCGUAACAAGUUGCCAAGG
rnacentral:rRNA from 1 species